GGCCUAUUUUUGGCAAACGGAGGCCGCCCGCCAAGUCUGGGGCCAUUCCGACUCCCGCGGACGAACUUCGAACACGCCCCACACCAAGGCUAUAGCCCACCCGUUUUUUGGCCAUUUUUCCGCUGGGGGGUCUUGGGACCCCGACCUUCGGGGGCUGAUUUUUGGGCGCGGCCGUGCCCGUGGCCUAUUUUUGGCACACGGAGGCCGCCCGCCAAGUCUGGGGCCAUUCCGAGUCCGGCGGACGAACUUCGCCCACGCCCCCCACCAAGGCUAUAGCCCACCCGUUUUUUGGCCAUUUUUCCGCUGGGGGGUCUUGGGACCCCGACCUUCGGGGGCUGAUUUUUGGGCGCGGCUGUGCCCGUGGCCUAUUUUUGGGUCACGUAGGCCGCCCGCCAAGUAUGGUGCCAUUCCGAGUCCCGCGGAUGAACUUCGCCCACGCCCCCCGCCAAGGCUAUAGGCCACCCGAUUUUUGGCCAUUUUUCCGCUGGGAGGUCUUGGGACCCGGACCUUCGGGGGCUGCUUUUUGGGCGCGGCUGUGCCCAUGGCCUAUUUUUGGCACACGGAGGCCGCCCGCAAAGUCUGGGGCCAUUCCGAGUCCGGCGGACGAACGUCGCCCACGCCCCCCACCAAGGCUAUAGCCCACCCUUUUUUUGGCCAUUGUUCCGCUGGGGGGUCUUGGGACCCCGACCUUCGGGGGCUGAUUUUUGGGCGCGGCUGUGCCCGUGGCCUAUUUUUGGCACACGGAGGCCGCCCGCCAAGUCUGGGGCCAUUCCGAGUCCCGCGGACGAACGUCGCCCACGCCCCCCACCAAGGCUAUAGCCCACCAAUUUUUUGGCCAUUUUUCCGCUGGGGGGUCUUGGGACCCCGACCUUCGGGGGCUGAUUUUUGGGCGCGGCUGUGCCCCUGGCCUAUUUUUGGCANNNNNNNNNNNNNNNNNNNNNNNNNNNNNNNNNNNNNNNNNNNNNNNNNNNNNNNNNNNNNNNNNNNNNNNNNNNNNNNNNNNNNNNNNNNNNNNNNNNNNNNNCCGCUGGGGGGUCUUGGGAGCCCGACCUUCGGGGGCUGAUUUUUGGGCGCGGCUGUGCCCGUGGCCUAUUUUUGGCACUCGGAGGCCGCCCGCCAAGCCUGGGGCCAUUCCGAGUCCCGCUGACGAACUUCGCCCACGCCCCCCACAUAGGCUUUAGCCCACCCUUUUUUUGGCCAUUUUUCCGCUGGGGGUUCUUGGGACCCCGACCUUCGGGGGCUGAUUUUUGGGCGCGGCUGUGCCCGUGGCCUAUUUUUGGCACACGGAGGCCACCCGCCAAGUCUGGGGCCAUUCCGAGUCCCGCGGACGAACGUCGCCCACGCCCCCCACCAAGGCUAUAGCCCACCCUUUUUUUUGCCAUUUUUCCGCUGGGGGGUCUUGGGACCCCGACCUUCGGGGGCUGAUUUUUGGGCGCGGCUGUGCCCGUGGCCUAUUUUUGGCACACGGAGGCCGCCCGAAAAGUCUGGGGCCAUUCCGAGUCCGGCGGACGAACUUCGCCCGCACCCCCACCAAGGCUAUAGCCCACCCGUUUUUUGGCCAUUUUUCCGCUGGGGGGUGUUGGCACCCCGACCUUCGGGGGCUGAUUUUUGGGCGCGGCUGUGCCCGUGGCCUAUUUUUGGCACACGGAGGCCGCCCGCAAAGUCUGGGGCCAUUCCGAGUCCGGCGGACGAACUUCGCCCACGCCCCCCACCAAGGCUAUAGCCCACCGAUUUUUUGGCCAUUUUUCCGCUGGGGGGUCUUGGCACCCCGACCUUCGGGGGCUGAUUUUUGGGCGCGGCUGUACCCGUGGCCUAUUUUUGGCACACGGAGGCCGCCCGCCAAGUCUGGGGCCAUUCCGAGUCCCGCGGACGAACGUCGCCCACGCCCCCCACCAAGGCUAUAGCCCACCAAUUUUUUGGCCAUUUUUCCGCUGGGGGGUCUUGGCACCCCGAACUUCGGGGGCUGAUUUUUGGGCGCGGCUGUGCCCAUGGCCUAUUUUUGGCACACGGAGGCCGCCCGCCAAGUAUGGUGCCAUUCCGAGUCCCGCGGACGAACUUCGCCCACGCCCCCCGCCAAGGCUAUAGCCCACCCGAUUUUUGGCCAUUUUUCCGCUGGGAGGUCUUGGGACCCCGACCUUCGGGGGCUGAUUUUUGGGCGCGGCUGUACCCGUGGCCUAUUUUUGGCACACGGAGGCCGCCCGCCAAGUCUGGGGCCAUUCCGAGUCCCGCGGACGAACGUCUCCCACGCCCCCCACCAAGGCUAUAGCCCACCCUUUUUUUGGCCAUUUUUCCGCUGGGGGGUCUUGGGACCCCGACCUUCGGGGGCUGAUUUUUGGGUGCGGCUGUGCCCGUGGCCUAUUUGUGGCACACGGAGGCCGCCCGCAAAGUCUGGGGCCAUUCCGAGUCCGGCGGACGAACUUCGCCCGCGCCCCCCACCAAGGCUAUAGCCCACCCGUUUUUUGGCCAUUUUUCCUCUGGGAGGUCAUGGGACCCCGACCUUCGGGGGCUGAUUUUUGGGCGCGGCUGUGCCCGUGGCCUAUUUUUGGCACACAGAGGCCGCCCGAAAAGUCUGGGGCCAUUCCGAGUCCGGCGGACGAACUUCGCCCGCACCCCCACCAAGGCUAUAGCCCACCAGUUUUUUGGCCAUUUUUCCGCUGGGGGGUGUUGGCACCCCGACCUUCGGGGGCUGAUUUUUGGGCGCGGCUGUGCCCGUGGCCUAUUUUUGGCACACGGAGGCCGCCCGCAAAGUCUGGGGCCAUUCCGAGUCCGGCGGACGAACUUCGCCCACGCCCCCCACCAAGACUAUAGCCCACCCGUUUUUUGGCCAUUUUUCCGCUGGGAGGUCUUGGGACCCCGACCUUCGGGGGCUGAUUUUUGGGCGCGGCUGUGCCCGUGUCCUAUUUUUGGCACACGGAGGCCACCCGCCAAGUCUGGGGCCAUUCCGAGUCCCGCGGACGAACGUCGCCCCCGCCCCCCACCAAGGCUAUUGCCCACCCUUUUUUUGGCCAUUUUUCCGCUGGGGGGUCUUGGGACCCCGACCUUCGGGGGCUGAUUUUUGGGCGCGGCUGUGCCCGUGGCCUAUUUUUGGCACACGGAGGCCGCCCGCCAAGUAUGGUGCCAUUCCGAGUCCCGCGGACGAACUUCGCCCACGCCCCCCACCAAGGCUAUAGCCCACCCGUUUUUUGGCCAUUUUUCCGCUGGGGGGUCUUGGGACCCCGACCUUCGGGGGCUGAUUUUUGGGCGCGGCUGUGCCCGUGGCCUAUUUUUGGCACACGGAGGCCGCCCGCGAGGUAUGGUGUCAUUCCGAGUCCCGCGGACGAACUUCGCCCACGCCCCCCGCCAAGGCUAUAGCCCACCCGAUUUUUGGCCAUUUUUCCGCUGGGAGGUCUUGGGACCCCGACCUUCGGGGGCUGAUUUUUGGGCGCGGCUGUACUCGUGGCCUAUUUUUGGCACACGGAGGCCGCCCGCCAAGUCUGGGGCCAUUCCGAGUCCCGCGGACGAACGUCGCCCACGCCCCCCACCAAGGCUAUAGCGCACCAAUUUUUUGGCCAUUUUUCCGCUGGGGGGUCUUGGCACCCCGACCUUCGGGGGCUGAUUUUUGGGCGCGGCUGUGCCCGUGGCCUAUUUUUGGCACACGGAGGCCGCCCGCAAAGUCUGGGGCCAUUCCGAGUCCGGCGUACGAACUUCGCCCGCGCCCCCCACCAAGGCUAUAGCCCACCCGUUUUUUGGCCAUUUUUCCGCUGGGGGGUGUUGGCACCCCGACCUUCGGGGGCUGAUUUUUGGGCGCGGCUGUGCCCGUGGCCUAUUUUUGGCACACGGAGGCCGCCCGCAAAGUCUGGGGCCAUU
rnacentral:lncRNA from 1 species